UUUGCUGACGAGCGGCGGACGGGUGAGUAAUGCUUGGGAACAUGCCUUGAGGUGGGGGACAACAGUUGGAAACGACUGCUAAUACCGCAUAAUGUCUACGGACCAAAGGGGGCUUCGGCUCUCGCCUUUAGAUUGGCCCAAGUGGGAUUAGCUAGUUGGUGAGGUAAUGGCUCACCAAGGCGACGAUCCCUAGCUGGUUUGAGAGGAUGAUCAGCCACACUGGGACUGAGACACGGCCCAGACUCCUACGGGAGGCAGCAGUGGGGAAUAUUGCACAAUGGGCGCAAGCCUGAUGCAGCCAUGCCGCGUGUGUGAAGAAGGCCUUCGGGUUGUAAAGCACUUUCAGUCAGGAGGAAAGGUUAGUAGUUAAUACCUGCUAGCUGUGACGUUACUGACAGAAGAAGCACCGGCUAACUCCGUGCCAGCAGCCGCGGUAAUACGGAGGGUGCGAGCGUUAAUCGGAAUUACUGGGCGUAAAGC
rnacentral:rRNA from 1 species